CUGCUUCCUGAUUGUGCAUUGGGCCAGGUGUGAAUGUUUUGGAAGUCUUUUAACAUAUCCCAACCAGUUUGAAAACAAUGUGAAGCCCUUGAUGGCCCAUCAGCAGGCAAUCGAGCAUACCAAGUUGAGAGCCUGUGCGAAGGUCUGUGAGAUGGUUUCUCGGUACUCCUUUUUACAUAAUACAGUAGCUUAACAGGAAUGAUAAACCGAUAUCACAAUAUGCCUUGCACAAAUCGAUAUCAAAUGAAUCAAUAUUUGUGCCCAAAACUAUUAUUUAUAGUACACAGUAGUACUGAUCUGAAACAUCUAAUCUAGAAACCAUCUAAUCUCGAAUCCAACUUCAGAUAGGAAAACAAAAAGAAGAAUUUCUAACACCCCAGAAACAACACACAAAAACACACAGCAAACAUUUGGGUGGAACACGGGGUCUUUCUGUAGACAAACAGUGGGGGUUUAGAAAGUCACACACAUUUUCCCAUUUUAGGUGAGUUCCAACUUGUGUCUCAAUAACGAGAAAUGUAGGACAUUGGACCAUAAUUAUUAGUGUUUCUAGUGUUAUUACUCUGAGACCAAGAAGAAACCCAAAAGUUUCCACAUCAAAAACAGGUGUUGUAUCAACCAGACUAAGCUCCCACGAACAACAAUAUCAGGUUAAAACAGGUGUUGUAUCAACCAGACUAAGCUCCCACGGACAACAAUAUCACGUUAAAACAGGUGUUGUAUCAACCAGACUAAGCUCCCACGGACAACAAUAUCACGUUAAAACAGGUGUUGUAUCAACCAGACUAAGCUCCCACGAACAACAAUAUCAGGUUAAAACAGGUGUUGUAUCAACCAGACUAAGCUCCCACGAACAACAAUAUCACAUUAAAACAGGUGUUGUAUCAACCAGACUAAGCUCCCACGAACAACAAUAUCACGUUAAAACAGGUGUUGUAUCAACCAGACUAAGCUCCCACGAACAACAAUAUCACGUUAAAACAGGUGUUGUAUCAACCAGACUAAGCUCCCACGAACAACAAUAUCACGUUAAAACAGGUGUUGUAUCAACCAGACUAAGCUCCCACGAACAACAAUAUCACAUUAAAAC